rnacentral:rRNA from 1 species
UACGUAGGGGGCAAGCGUUGUCCGGAUUUAUUGGGCGUAAAGAGCGUGUAGGCGGCCGUACAGGUCAGCUGUGAAAACUCGAGGCUCAACCUCGAGACGUCGGUUGAAACCGUACGGCUAGAGUCCGGAAGAGGAGAGUGGAAUUCCCGGUGUAGCGGUGAAAUGCGCAGAUAUCGGGAAGAACACCCGUGGCGAAGGCGACUCUCUGGGACGGUACUGACGCUGAGACGCGAAAGCGUGGGGAGCGAACAGG